rnacentral:tRNA from 1 species
UGGGGUGUAGCUUAGUGGUAGAGCACUUGCCUAGCAUGCACAAGCCCCUGAAUUCAAUCCCUAGCACUUCAA